rnacentral:siRNA from 1 species
ACCUUAUGUUUUGUUUGCCUUUGG